GACGAACGCUGGCGGCGUGCCUAAUACAUGCAAGUCGAACGCAGUGGGGACGGGUGAGUAACACGUGGGUAACCUCCCAGCAGAGGGGAUAACCCUUGGAAAAAGGUGCUAAACCGAUACGGAUGGAGGGACUCGCGGUGCAUUAGCUAGUUGGUGAGGUCACGGCCUACCAAGGCCACGAUGCAGAGCCGGCCUGAGAGGAUGAGCGGCCACAUGGGGACUGAGACACGGCCCAGACUCCUACGGGAGGCAGCAGUGGGUAAUCUUCGGCAAUGGACGCAAGUCUGACCUAGCAACGCCGAGUGAGUGAAGAAGGUUUUCGGGUCGUAAAGCUCUUUUGGUAGAGAAGCGGUAUCUAAACAGGAAGCCACGGCUAACUCCGUGCCAGCAGCCGCGGUAAUAC
rnacentral:rRNA from 1 species